rnacentral:lncRNA from 1 species
AUGGAGCAGUUCUCCUUCAGAAAGUCCCCUGUCCCAGGCUGGAGGCCGCCGUGGAACCCUGACAAGAUGUUCGCUUCCGCCGGGGUCUGCCUUCUCCCGCCGGCUGGCCGGAAGCUGCAGACGCCGGGCCCUGGUUCCUUCUGGCGCCGGCCGACCUCCCGGUCCGGCUCGGGGCGAGCAGCGGCCCGGCCUCUGCUGCCCACGCCAUCCGGGAGCGAGGGGCCCGGCGUGGAAGCCCUGCAGGCAGAUCCGCAACUCGCCCGGGGGAGGGGAAAUCCUGGCAGACUGAACUGGCAGGUGGGACGGAGAGGGGACCCGGAGAGGCCGUGGCCAAGUGGGCUUGGAGUGCAGGAGAAGCAGAUGAGGGUGAGGUGGGCCUAGUCGGGGACUGGAGCGGCGGGCCCCCAGGCAUAUGCGUGGAGUGGGCGGGAUGCUGUGAGUCAGAGAGGGGCAGUGAAUGGGCACAGAUGACAGACAGCCGAGGGAGGAGCCGGUGGGCAGGCCCUCUCUCUGGUCGCUACUCUGCACCUUUACAUUUUCCCCUGAAUCAGGCAGAGGACAGACCCCCGAGGGAAGGCGCUUACCUCCUCACGAGGCAAGGAGAAGGGGAAGGAGUAUUUCCUUCCUCAGAGUUCUAAGCCUCACCUGAGUCCUUCCCACCACAUCUGCUCAUCACCUCCCCAAGGCAGCCCUCGCCCAUCACCCCACUGUCUCCCAGCAGUAAGGAGAGGAGGAGUUAGAACAGACCAGGGGCGGAACCUCGCCUCCCGGCUUCCCCCACCUCUGGGACUCAGGUGAGGGCUCCUGUGGGAAACUCUGCCCUAACUGGCCCCCUCCCUGGAUCCAGGAGAAUUAGUGGCUUGGCUGGAAGGCACCCUAGACCCCAGGAUCUGAACCCUUGAUUUUUCCAGAGAGGAAAUUAGAGACUCAGAGAGGGUGAGUUGCUUACCCAAAGUCACACAGCAUUAUAGUGGCAGAGUAGAGUUAGGGCCUGGGACACCAGGGUCCCACCUGGUGUUCUUUGUAGGCACUGCUGGGGAGGGAAUCUUCUCUCUUCCACAAGGUGGUGGCCUUGACAAGGGCAGGGGUACGUCCUGCCCCUUGCCUGCCCGCCAGGCACACCCUGAGAUGGGCACCCGGUUGAAUGAGUGAUGAGGGGCCCAAGGGGUCCCAGGCAGUGCCAGUCUGAGGUGGCGCAGCUAAAGAGUGGCAGAGUUGGGGACGCAGUGCAGGCCUGCUGAUGCCACCCCAGUUGUGUCCUCUCAGACAGGCACUGCCUCACUCUGGGCCUCAGAUACCCAAUCCAUGGAGUUAAGAGGUCAGGCAAGCUUACUUCAAACCCCCUUCCAGCUCUGCAGGGUGGAGAUGGUUUGAGUGGAGUUCAGGGGAAAGGGGUUUGCUCCGCUGUUUUGUUGCAGUAAGGCUUCAUGUUGGUAAGAGAUCGUCAGUGGUUUUUAAGUGCAACAAAGUGGACCUGCAGGGAUCAGAGAGGGCAGCGGGGUGGAGGCAGUCUCUGUGGGGGUGUCUUUCCCUGUCCAUGCUGUGAGGCACGUGCCUACAUGUAUGUAGGGGAAGAGGUUAGGGUUGUACGUGUCUCUGUACAAAGGACGAAGUUUAUACCAGGCUGCGUGCUUCAUGCUGCGUGAAAUGUUUACUCCAACACCUUGAAAACAAAAUAAAAUUGACCAUAAUCAAUCCAGUGCUCCUCCAGCAGGUGCUUUUUGUGUGGCUGAGUCAGUUCUCCUUGGGUUUGCUCCGAACAUUUCACACUUUGUAGGUGAUCCCUAAUCCUAGUCAUUCCCUAACCCAACACCCUGAAGCCUUGUGGAAUACAGAGUGGACCUGCUCUCAAGGAGGCACAGAAGGUGAGGCUCCUUCAUGCAGGAAUGAUUCACCUUUAGACCAGACCAGGAGGCUUAGGCUAUAACUAGAAUUACUCCAAUUUGCAGUGGGUACAGGGAAGAGGCAUUAAAUCUGCCAGUGAGCUGUAGAGAUCAGGGAGGACUUCCUGGAGGAGGAGACGUAAACAGAGUCAUUAUACUCUAAGGGCCAUGGGAGGUUGGGCAAAUGGUCAGACAAGGGAUCGAGUGGUGGGGGCGGUGCCCAGAAUGUGUGGCUGUGACUUAGUGGGUCUGAGAAGAGAAAGGUGAGGAAGGCUUCCACAGGAAAUGAGGCUUCGACGGGAGGUGGGUUUGCUUCAGUGAAGGACAGGACACCCUGGCGGAGGGGUGCUGGGGUCAGGGAGGACCGGGGUGGAG